rnacentral:rRNA from 1 species
AUUGAACGCUGGCGGCAGGCCUAACACGUGCAAGUCGAACGAGUGGCGGACGGGUGAGUAAUGUCUGGGAAACUGCCUGAUGGAGGGGGAUAACUACUGGAAACGGUGGCUAAUACCGCAUACCAUCAGAUGGGCCCAUAUGGGAUUAGCUGGUUGGUGGGGUAACGGCUCACCAAGGAGACGAUCCCUAGCUGGUCUGAGAGGAGGACCAGCCACACUGGAACUGAGACACGGUCCAGACUCCUACGGGAGGCAGCAGUGGGGAAUAUUGCACAAUGGGGGCAAUCCUGAUGCAGCCAUGCCGCGUGUAUGAUGAAGGCCUUCGGGUUGUAAAGUACUUUCAGCGGGGAGGCGUUACCCGCAGAAGAAGCACCGGCUAACUCCGUGCCAGCCGCCGCGGUAAUUC